AUACGGGGGGGGCUAGCGUUGUCCGGAAUUAUUGGGCGUAAAGGGCGCGUAGGCGGAAUGGUAAGUCAGUGGUGAAAAUCCAAGGCUCAACCUUGGACCUGCCUUUGAUACUGCCAUUCUUGAGUGCGAGAGAGGAAAGUGGAAUUCCCGGUGUAGCGGUGAAAUGCGUAGAUAUCGGGAAGAACACCGGUAGCGAAGGCGGCUUUCUGGCUCGCAACUGACGCUGAGGCGCGAAAGCGUGGGGAGCAAACAGGAUUAGAAACCCCAGUAGUCC
rnacentral:rRNA from 1 species